UACGGAGGGUGCAAGCGUUAUCCGGAUUCACUGGGUUUAAAGGGUGCGUAGGCGGAUUAGAAAGUCCGUUGUGAAAUCUCUGAGCUUAACUCGGAAAUUGCGGUGGAUACUAUUAGUCUUGAAUACUGUGGAGGUUAGCGGAAUAUGUCAUGUAGCGGUGAAAUGCAUAGAUAUGACAUAGAACACCAAUUGCGAAGGCAGCUGGCUACACAGAUAUUGACUGAGGCACGAAAAGCGUGGGGGAUCAAAACAGGAAUUAGAUUACCCC
rnacentral:rRNA from 1 species